CUCUAAAUAUUGACAAGUGCACACAGCGGCUGUAGCUAGAGCCCUUAUCAGGAGAGAUAACAUUCUCGCCUCCCUUCCUCCUGCCCCCAAGCAACCACAGCAGUCUGUCUGUCCACCCUGUCUGUUAGCUUUGCCUCGUCUAAAACCUGGGUGGAAAUGGAAUCAGAGCGGAGUACUAGUUCUCUGUGGACGAGACAAGACGCAAAGCGAUAGAACCCAAGAUUUGCAUGCAAGCCGGGCAAGUGCUCUACCACCCAGCCACACCCCCCGGGCCCUGCCUUCCGUUCGGCUGCAAUAAUAAACCAGUUGCUGGCUAAUGUCAGUUGAAUCACACACUGCUCCUGGCAUGAAAUGAUGGCAUCACUUUGCCUGGGUGAUCAGGGACCCUUAUCACUGGCCACUGUCAACAGGAGGAGAAAUGAGUUCUGCAAGGGACAUCAGCAUCAGGUCCUCCUACCUCCUGAGCACUGGGAUCAUUGGCAUGUACCACCACCACUUGCUCUGCAAUUUGCUUUCCUAUAGCAGCUUUGAGAAACUCUUUCUCAACAAGCCAGCCUCCUUGCUUGUCAAUUGAUUGGCAGAAUGGAGUAGUAGAGCAUCAUUGAACCCUCUGAUCUUUGUUUUUCCUCAUCUGAAAGCGCGUCUCACAGAGAGCCUGGCAGCUGGGUCAAGGAAUGGAAGUAAAGCAGUCCUCAGAGCCUGGUGUGCCAGCAUCCAGCAACAAGGACAAGGGCCUGGUCUGAAAACAAGAGAAACCCCCCCCAACUCUCUCCCCCCACACCAUCCACUCCUCUACCGUUUCUCUUCAGAUACAGGCAGGCAUCCCAUGGAUAUCAGCCAGCCAUCGUAUACCAGGCUGCAGUGAGACCAGACACCCCCUCCUUCACCUCCACGUUCUUCUUUAAGGAUGCCCAUGGAAGAACACACUCUUGUGUUCUCUUACAAGAUACAGAUGUUGGGGUUCAUCCAAGGGGCUGUGAUGAGGGAGGGUAGAGCCAAGAUGUGGAUCUGUGGAGUCUGAUGCAAGAGCUCUUGGAGUGUCCCCUUUGUUAUAGAGCUCGCCUGACUCAGUUGCCAAAAUGUUCCAGCCUUGAGUGGGCCCCUGUGCUGUAGUUGUAGUCGCCAGGAGUUUGUACAGAUACAU